AACGAACGCUGGCGGCAGGCCUAACACAUGCAAGUCGAGCGCGCCCUUCGGGGUGAGCGGCGGACGGGUGAGUAACGCGUGGGAACGUGCCCUUUUCUACGGAAUAGCCUCGGGAAACUGAGAGUAAUACCGUAUACGCCCUUUGGGGGAAAGAUUUAUCGGAAAAGGAUCGGCCCGCGUUGGAUUAGGUAGUUGGUGGGGUAAUGGCCUACCAAGCCAACGAUCCAUAGCUGGUUUGAGAGGAUGAUCAGCCACACUGGGACUGAGACACGGCCCAGACUCCUACGGGAGGCAGCAGUGGGGAAUCUUAGACAAUGGGGGCAACCCUGAUCUAGCCAUGCCGCGUGAGUGAUGAAGGCCUUAGGGUUGUAAAGCUCUUUCAGCUGGGAAGAUAAUGACGGUACCAGCAGAAGAAGCCCCGGCUAACUCCGUG
rnacentral:rRNA from 1 species